rnacentral:rRNA from 1 species
UACGUAGGGGCGAGCGUUGUCCGGAAUGACUGGGCGUAAAGGGCGCGUAGACGGCUGAUUAAGUCUGGAGUGAAAGUCCUGCUUUCAAGGUGGGAAGCGCUUUGGAGACUGGUUGGCUUGAGUGCGGAAGAGGUAAGUGGAAUUCCCAGUGUAGCGGUGAAAUGCGUAGAGAUUGGGAGGAACACCAGUAGCGAAGGCGACUUACUGGGCCGUAACUGACGUUGAUGCGCGAAAGCGUGGGGAGCGAACAGGAUUAGAUACCCUGGUAGUCCCU